GGUCAGGAGCCUAAAUCCCCUGGUCCCAAAUCCCAAAGAUCCCGAAUCCCAGAGCUCCUAAAUCCCCUGGUCCCAAAUCCCAAAAAUCCCGAAUCCCAGAGCUCCUAAAUCCCCUGGUCCCAAAUCCCAAAGAUCCCAAAUUCCAGAGGUCCCAAAUUCCAGAGGUCCCAAAUCCCAAAGAUCCCAAACCCCCGAAUCCCAAAUUUGGAUCCCAAACCCUCCUCGGCGUAGAUGCGCUUGUUGCUCAUGUCCCGCUCCAUGCGGGCCUGGAAAGGGGUCAGGAGCCUAAAUCCCCUAAUCCCAAAUCCCAAAAAUCCCAAAAAUCCCAAAUCCCAGAGCUCCUAAAUCCCCUGGUCCCAAAGAUCCCAAAUCCCAAAAAUCCCGAAUCCCAAAAAUCCUGAAUCCCAGAGCUCCUAAAUCCCGUGGUCAUAAAUCCCAAAGAUCCGAAAUCCCAGAGCUCCUAAAUCCCAAAGAUCCCAAAUCCCAGAGCUCCUGAAUCCCCUGGUCCCAAAGAUCCCAAAUCCCAAAAAUCCCGAAUCCCAGAGCUCCUAUAUCCCAGAGCUCCUAAAUCCCCUGGUCCCAAAUCCCAAAGAUCCCAAAUCCCAAAGGUCCCAAAUCCCAAAGAUCCCAAACCCUCGGAUCCCAAAUCCGGAUCCCAACGGAUCCACGAGGACCCAAAUCCUGUCCAGGUCCUGAUCCUAAAUCCCUGAGGUCCCAAACCUCCUGAUCCUAAAUCCCUGAGGUUCUGAAUCCCCUAAUCCCAAACCCCAAAGAUCCCAAAUCCCUGAGGUCCCAAACCCCCGAAUCCCAAAUUUGGAUCCCAAACCCCACUCGGCGUAGAUGCGCUUGUUGCUCAUGUCCCGCUCCAUGCGGGCCUGGAAGGGGCAGGAGCCUAAAUCCCCUAAUCCCAAAGAUCCCAGAUCCCAAAUCCCAGUGGUUCUGAAUCCCAAAGAUCCCAAAUCCCAGAGCUCCUGAAUCCCCUGGUCCCAAAUCCCAGAGAUCCCAAACCCUCGGAUCCCGAAUCCGGAUCCCAACGGAUCCAUCAGGACCCAAAUCCUGUCCAGGUCCUGAUCCUAAAUCCCCUAAUCCCAAAUCCCAAAAAUCCCAAAUCCCAGAGGUUCUGAAUCCCAAAGAUCCCAAAUCCCAAAGAUCCCAAACCCCCAAAUCCCAAAUUUGGAUCCCAAAAGAUCCCAAACCCCACUCGGCGUAGAUGCGCUUGUUGCUCAUGUCCCGCUCCAUGCGGGCCUGGAACGGGCAGGAGCCUAAAUCCCCUGGUCCCAAAGAUCCCAAAUCCCAAAAAUCCCAAAUCCCAGAGCUCCUAAACCCCCAGAUCCCAAAUCCCAAAGCCCCGAAUCCCAAAGAUCCGAAAUCCCAGAGCUCCUAAAUCCCAAAAAUCCCAAA
rnacentral:lncRNA from 1 species